AAUCCAAAAUUAGGCCCAAAUACUUGAACUGGACUUGACCUUGGCGUUUUGUUUUGUUUUCUAGUGUGCUGUGCUGAUUAGGAGCUGGAUACAUAGGAAGCAUUGGUGAUAUCAGAGAUUGACUGGAUGCCUGAAGCACACAGUGGUAUGAUUUUGGUGAGCAAGUGAUCAGAGUAUGAAAACUGUCAUUCUUCAGGGCCAAAGGAAGCACAGCUGAAGAAAUAAUCUACUUUCAACUAUACAGAAACAGGCAUUUUGUACAGCAUUGUACCAGGGUGAAAGAAAAAAAGAAAGCAACAGUCUGUAAGUAUUGGACAAACUAUCACGGGAGCUUAAUAGCAUUUUUUUUUCAAUGCUCAGAGGAUGCAAAUGCAAUGGAAUACGGGCACAGUAAUUUUGUUUCUUUUUUUUGUAAGUUGCUAAGAGUAAAAACAAAGCUGAGCUGCUUAUGGAGAACAAAUUAAUCUGCUAAAGUGCAAACAGA
rnacentral:lncRNA from 1 species